UGCGCAGGCGGGAAAUUAAGUCAGUGGUGAAAUCCUGCAGCUUAACUGUAGAAUUGCCAUUGAAACUGAUUUUCUUGAGUGCAGUUGAGGUGGGCGGAAUGUGUAAUGUAGCGGUGAAAUGCUUAGAUAUUACACAGAACACCGAUUGCGUAGGCAGCUCACUAAACUGUUACUGACGCUCAGGCACGAAAGCGUGGGGAGCGAACAGGAUUAGAUACCCUGGUAGUC
rnacentral:rRNA from 1 species